rnacentral:rRNA from 1 species
GUAGGGUGGCAAGCGUUGUCCGGAAUUAUUGGGCGUAAAGCGCGCGCAGGGCGGUUCUUUAAGUCUGAUGUGAAAGCCCACGGCUCAACCGUGGAGGGUCAUUGGAAACUGGGGGACUUGAGUACAGAAGAGGAAAGCGGAAUUCCAAGUGUAGCGGUGAAAUGCGUAGAGAUUUGGAGGAACACCAGUGGCGAAGGCGGCUUUCUGGUCUGUAACUGACGCUGAGGCGCGAAAGCGUGGGGAGCAAACAGGAUUAGAUACCCUGGUAGUCCACGCCGUAAACGAUGAGUGCUAAGUGUUAGGGGGUUUCCGCCCCUUAGUGCUGCAGCUAACGCAUUAAGCACUCCGCCUGGGGAGUACGGCCGCAAAGGCUG